rnacentral:rRNA from 1 species
AGGUGGCGACCGGCGCACGGGUGAGUAACACGUAUCCAACCUGCCGAUAACUCGGGGAUAGCCUUUCGAAAGAAAGAUUAAUACCCGAUGGCAUAAUUAGACCGCAUGGUCUUAUUAUUAAAGAAUUUCGGUUAUCGAUGGGGAUGCGUUCCAUUAGGCAGUUGGUGAGGUAACGGCUCACCAAACCUUCGAUGGAUAGGGGUUCUGAGAGGAAGGUCCCCCACAUUGGAACUGAGACACGGUCCAA